UACGAAGGGUGCUAGCGUUGUUCGGAAUUACUGGGCGUAAAGCGCGCGUAGGCGGAUGAUUAAGUCAGGGGUGAAAUCCCGGGGCUCAACCUCGGAACUGCCUUUGAUACUGGUCAUCUGGAGUCCGGAAGAGGUUGGUGGAAUUCCGAGUGUAGAGGUGAAAUUCGUAGAUAUUCGGAGGAACACCAGAGGCGAAGGCGGCCAACUGGUCCGGUACUGACGCUGAGGCGCGAAAGCGUGGGGAGCAAACAGG
rnacentral:rRNA from 1 species